rnacentral:lncRNA from 1 species
CACCGCCGUCACCACCACCACACGCCUACAUUAUGCCUCCAUGGCCAUAGAAACCUGCUCUUCAUUGACGGAGGCUCGUAAAAUAAAGUUUUCAAAACUCCACCUAAACUCAGCUCAAUGUCACCUUCAACUGCCUCAGAACGAGGCGCCCAAAGCCACCGACUAAUGAACAAAAGACAGGCUUGGCGGGAAGACAACGGGCGCAUCCAGGCGCCAACAAAUACUAGCGGCCAUUGCCGUUACCUCGCAACCCAGUAAUGAUGCUGACAAGAUGGCGAGAAAGAUUAGUUCCGUCACGAACACCUCAACCACCGCCAGACUACGAACCUGUGUCGUCAGACUACACCACAGCCCCGCUCAACGUGUCACCGGCUCUCGCGUGUCAUCCACACCACCUCGGCGACUCUGUGGUUUCUUGGCCUGCAAGUCCCACUGCCGACCUGACGAACUAGAUUAAAAAAAAAAAAAGUGGGAUUGGGGGGAAUCACAAAGAAGGACUUUUUAAAUUUAUGAUGAGUCGUGAAUGUGGCGGAGAGAAGAUCCAAGACACAAUCUUGGGUAGAGCAGUAGAAAAAAUUUUAUUGGCCAAUUAAAAAGUAAAAGUCGACCUUGUUGUGGAGGAGGCGUCAGCAAUCACACUUUUUUUUCUUGUGAGGUCGGUGCCCAUCACCGCUACCGGUCACUGCAUUUACCUUUCCGCAGCCCGUAAUGGAGUCAGGUAUCCAUUUCGGACAGGUGAGUCGACUAAAAGUUCAUGCGCGACGCGGGUAUCGAACCUGCGCAUAUUCGAGUUCCGCUCUAUCCGCACUUAACAAGUCGAUAACCCUGCAUGUAAAGGGACGGGGUAGACAGCGUAUAAACAAAAAGGUCGGGUAGAAGUGGAGAGUGUAAAGCAAUAAAAGCGAAGAGCUAGAGAUUGAGGGGGAUUGUGGGAGAUAAGCAGAGUAAGGAGAUUGAGUACAGUCGACCGCCACUCGAGUUGUAUUAAAGGCCAAGUAAAAGCUCGGUCACAGCUAAAAGCUCGUUUACUGCAGCAAGAUUCGCGCCUGUCAACAAGACCCUUCCAUCCAUCCAGCAUACAGUCCCCCGCUGCUUUCAUGGGUGGGUGUCUACCCUUUGGCCACGAGUCAGUCGCGUGCGACUUACUUCAACACACGACAAGCAAGUUUUCACCACGCGAAAGAUUCUAAAGAAAAAAAAAAACCUGUUUACUUUCCCUCAUUCGCCUCUACUCCCCCCUUUUUUACACAGUUAAAAAAAUAUUUCCCCUACCCAGUUGUGAUUUUUAAAAAAUGUAAACUGCGCAUGUUACCACCGAACAUUUGCAGAAAAAUUUGUGGAGCAGAAAGAGGUCAGGUCAGGUUACAGGCAUCCCGCCCACCCUCUACCCACCACCACCACAACCAUAACGGCUGUGCUCGUCUGCAAGAUCUUGGGACCCUCCGCUUGAUUUGUCACACAUCAGCGAGUAGAGGAGUGGGUGGGUAGGUUGGGUCGUUUGAACUUGCCGCGCUCGCGCGUCCGUUGAUGCCACCUGGUGGCGGUUACAACAGGCGCCUCCAACGAGUAGCAUGCGAAAACCAUCAAGGACCAUUUUCAUUUGUUGUCAGAUAAUUAGUGCCACCUAGUGCAUCCUGGUACGUGCCUGUCGGGUCGUCCUCGAGCUGUUUACGCCGCCAGGCGUGGACCCGACAUGGCCUCCACUUCUCACUUCUCAUUGAAAUUCAAAACCUGCCUGCCGUUGCAGAUGCAGCCAAUGAGGUUAAAGAUGAUUCGGUGCGGUGAGGCGAUCUCCGACUUCUGUUGGACGGCGGCUAGUUCUUGAUAAAUACCAGAUGGAUUGAUAGAAUAAACUUAUUUUUCAUCUCAGAAUAAAUAAACUGCUUAGUUCCUCUUGAAA